CUCGUAGGCGGUUUGUCGCGUCUGCUGUGAAAAUCCGAGGCUCAACCUCGGACUUGCAGUGGGUACGGGCAGACUAGAGUGCAGUAGGGGAGAAGGGAAUUCCUGGUGUAGCGGUGGAAUGCGCAGAUAUCAGGAGGAACACCGAUGGCGAAGGCACUUCUCUGGGCUGUAACUGACGCUGAGGAGCGAAAGCGUGGGGAGCGAACA
rnacentral:rRNA from 1 species